rnacentral:rRNA from 1 species
AUUGAACGCUGGCGGCAGGCCUAACACAUGCAAGUCGAACGAGUGGCGGACGGGUGAGUAAUUUCUGGGAAACUGCCCGAUGGAGGGGGAUAACUACUGGAAACGGUAGCUAAUACCGCAUACCAUCGGAUGUGCCCAGAUGGGAUUAGCUAUUAGGUGGUGUAGCGGCUCACCUAGGCGACGAUCCCUAGCUGGUCUGAGAGGAUGACCAGCCACACGUGAACUGAGACACGGUCCAGACUCCUACGGGAGGCAGCAGAGGGGAAUAUUGCACAAUGGGCGCAAGCCUGAUGCAGCCAUGCCGCGUGUAUGAAGAAGGCCUUCGGGUUGUAAAGUACUUUCAGCGAGGAGGCGUUACUCGCAGAAGAAGCACCGGCUAACUCCGUGCCAGCCGCCGCGGUAAUAC